rnacentral:rRNA from 1 species
GAUGAACGCUGGCGGCGUGCCUAACACAUGCAAGUCGAACGAAGCACCUUACCUGAUUCUUCGGAUGAAAGUUUGGUGACUGAGUGGCGGACGGGUGAGUAACGCGUGGGUAACCUGCCCUGUACAGGGGGAUAACAGGUGGAAACGGCUGCUAAUACCGCAUAAGCGCACGAGGAGACAUCUCCUUGUGUGAAAAACUCCGGUGGUACAGGAUGGGCCCGCGUCUGAUUAGCUGGUUGGCAGGGUAACGGCCUACCAAGGCAACGAUCAGUAGCCGGUCUGAGAGGAUGAACGGCCACAUUGGAACUGAGACACGGUCCAAACUCCUACGGGAGGCAGCAGUGGGGAAUAUUGCACAAUGGGGGAAACCCUGAUGCAGCAACGCCGCGUGAGUGAAGAAGUAUUUCGGUAUGUAAAGCUCUAUCAGCAGGGAAGAUAAUGACGGUACCUGACUAAGAAGCUCCGGCUAAAUACGUG